rnacentral:rRNA from 1 species
UACGAGGGGAGCAAGCGUUGUUCGGAUUUACUGGGCGUAAAGGGCGCGUAGGCGGUCGUGACAAGUCACUUGUGAAAUCUCCGGGCUUAACUCGGAACGGUCAAGUGAUACUGUCGGACUAGAGUACAGAAGGGGCAACUGGAAUUCUCGGUGUAGCGGUGAAAUGCGUAGAUAUCUGGAGGAACACCGGUGGCGAAGGCGGCGUCCUGGACCAACACUGACACUGAGGAGCGAAAGCCAGGGGAGCAAACGGG